ACAGAUAUGACCGAGUGGUGAAGGUGCUGAACUGUUAAGCAGAGGGUCGAGGGUUCGGAUCCCGUCAUGUGUA
rfam:Ancylostoma ceylanicum strain HY135 Acey_s0039_scaf, whole genome shotgun sequence.